UGGCGCGGCCCCGCCCCCCCGCGUUGCUAGGGGCGACGGUGACAGCCCUUCCCUGCACAUGGCGGGGCCGGAGCUGCCGCGCCCGGUGACAAGGUGUUUAGCGGAGGUUGCAGAUUUGUUGGGAGCUGCCAGCCAAGUGUUUCAAAUACCGAGCGCACAACACACCGCCCAACGCGCAGCGGCUGAGCAGCUAACUUGAAAGAUGAGGGCCCCUUGGGAGUCUGCCCACCCUCGGGUGCACGGUCGGCCCCAGGCGCUUCGGGGAUGUGAUUAACCGACACGUGUCUUGGCGCAAGGGCCACUGAAGUGGUAAGAGGCGACGCACAGCUAGAUCCAGUGAGGUUCCAGCGAGGACCGCACAGAAGCACGAGGAGGAAAAAUGAUCUUGGCGAGAACGACUGCGCAUCGAUUCAGUUGGGAUGGAACGACAGUGCAAACGCAAUGUCUGCUUGUCGGUUCAGAACGGCAGACUUUAGCGAACGGAGGGGAGCAGUCAGUUCACGUACACCGUGGAGCGCGAGGACUUGAGUGCGGGGAGGCCUGGGGUUUCCUGAUAAAAACUGUGUGGAAUUCGCAUCUCCAGAUGAGGUUAAAAAAACCCAAACCUUGUAGGGAAGUUGGCUACAAGUAACGGAAAAGGGGAUCGAUCAGUUAAGUAAGCUAUGUUUUGGAGAUCAGAAAGUCUAGGGAUAGAAUAAGCCACAAGUCCAGCCGAGUUAGAUUUUGUAAACGAAAUUAAGAUUUUUCAGCCAGGUGAAUAAAGCGAACAAGGAAAGAAGUGCAGCUCGUAGGCAGUGAAGCUGAGGCAGAGAAUCAGCAAAGCUAACUUAGGUAUGGCUCACCACUGAACCAUUACGAUGUCUCAUUUUUCAGUGAGGACAAUGAUGUUGGCCAAGGGACAAAGGCAGGGUGACUAGUGGGAAUAAGGGUAUAGGGAUAGAGUAGACUAGAAAUUACCACAACUGGUAUGGAAGUAAAGCUCUAAGUUUAACACAUUCAAGUCAGGGGGACUGGAUUAUUUCUGUCUUGGGUUAUGGAAGGAGUGGGCACAUGGAAUCACAAAUCUUGUAACAGGGAUUGUUAAUAACUCCAUCCAGUGGGUAAUGUGCUAUAGCAAAAGUAUUGCUGGUAUAUAAGAAAAGGAAAAUAAAUGGUCUGAACAACUAGAGGCUCACAGGCCUGAAAGCUUUAAAUACAUUUUGAGGGAACUACUAAUUAGACAUAAAUAGAAAGUGGGAUAUAAUGCAACAUUGGCAUAUCAGAGGUGUAUCGUGAUAGACUAACCUGGUAUCUUUGAUAAAACAUCUUAUUUUCCAAACAAGGAAAAAUGGUAGAUCUUAUCUAUCUGGACUUCAGUAAAGCUUCUGAUGUGGUGCCAGGUGAGAAACUAUGAGCUAAACUGAAGAAAAAGUAGAUUAGUAGAAGUGUAAGAGUGGGUAAGAAACCAACGAAAAAAGCAACUGCAACAGGUUAACUUCAGUGAGCACAAUUCCUUCAAGAUCGGUUCUAAAAACAAACUUACUAAAUAUUUUCAUUAGCUAUCUUGGCACACAAACCAAGAGUGUGCCAAUGAAAUGUAUCAGCGGUACAAAGUUGAAGAGCAUAAUUAAAACAGGAGGAUCUGAAUAUCACGUAGGAAGAGCUGGAUGAUUACGUUUUAAGGACUGGGCAACACAUGGGAUUAAAUUCAGUAGUACAAAGUACAAAUAACAGGCAUUUAGGGACUUAUAGUGAGAAUUUCAGUUUUAAGAUGUGAGCUCAUCAGUUGGAAAGACAGAGGGACAGAGACUUGGGAGUAUGUGUCUAUUAAAGGAUGACUAUAUACCAAGUGUGUGAUUCAGCUGUGAAACAGCAAAUUCAAUUCUAGGAUGUAUCAGGUGACUUAUUUCAGUAGAGACACAUUCAUGGAAUCGCAUCCAGCUUGUAGGUUGAAGCGAAAAUUAACUCAACUUUAAAAGUGUUGGAAAAGGUCAGUGCAACACUUUAGCACUGGCAAUUAGUCUUAUGUGUCACAUAAGUCUUGUACUGCUCUGCUGACCAGUAGGAAAUGGAUUUUAUAGCAUAACUGGUAGGGGAUUGUAUAUUUAAAGGUGAUAUUUUAAUAGGUGCACAAGGGGUAGAGUUAAGGUGACAACAUUUACUUGUGGAUACCCAGAGUAAUUAAAGAUUUAGUUUGCAAUUUUAGUAUUUUAGUUAAGAAAUUAAUUUUGCUUAUAAGAAUUUAAAAAAUAUAUAUUAUUUUGUCCCUGGUACAACUUUGUUGAAACAGGUAGAUUGACUAGUCUUGCAUUUUGUCCUAGUAUGUUCAAGCAAUAGAUUCAAUAACUUUCAUUCUAUUUGGAUGUCAUAUUUUAUGUUGUUAUUAUAACUGGUAAUUUUCUAUUUAUGAUAAACAUGACACUAGCUAUUUGUUAAUUGAAAUAUGUCUGGAGAUGGACUAGCUGAGCUAAAUGGAAGCUGUUUAAUCUCUGAUUUAUGUGAUUCUCUCUGAAAGGCCCAUUUUUCAGUUAGAAUGGAAAAGAACAGAAGCAUUAAACUUAUCAUUAUUUAUAAAAUGUACCCAUGCUAAACUUGCAUUUAUAUAACAAAAUCAGCAUAGGUAAAUUAAAUAGUAAUCAUAUGAAUAUAUUAUUUUUUGAAAACAGCUUUCAUUAAAGACUCAGUGAAGUUUCUCAGUGGUAAUGAACUUUCCUAACACAUUUACAAAACCAAAAUGCCUAAAAAGAAGAAACCUGCUAAUUCAAGCUAUUGUUGACUGUUCACAUAAUAAGCACAUUUUUCUGA